AAGCAUGACUGCAAAUGACAAAAGUGAAAAACUUUUACUCACAUAGACCAAAAUAUAGGAAAAACCUUAUUCUUUUGUUUCUUUCAAAAUAUUUCAUUCAGAUAAAUGAUUUCAUAAAAAGAAUGAUUUGGAUAUUUGUAUAAAAUUUGGAGAAAAUCAAAAUUUUAAAAAGUUUGUAACAAUUAUUUUUGGAUGAGAUAAGGCACAAAUAUCCGAUGAAGGAAGUUCACAAGGAUAAAAAAGAGGAUGACGACGAUGAUGAUGAUGUAACCCAUUGCCAAUAUGAAUCAUUUUCAUAAAUUCUUCAGAAUUCAAUCAAAGAAGAACCAAGUUCAUUGUUUGUACCCGAAGACUACAGUCAUGGCAUAGAAACAAUGGCCCUCCAGUAGCUUCUGUUUUAGCAUCAUCUCAUGCUGGAUCAAUUACUCAAUUCCUUUGCCAAAUACUUGUCCAUCAACUCCACCAGCGCGUAUAUUUCACUUUUCUGGACCGAAUUAGCUAAAAGUUGAGGCUGAAUUUGGAAUGCCAAACCAAGUCCUUCGAUCAUGCAUAGUUCACUCUUAGUUGGAUUGAAGGAUGUGUGCAUCUCACGUGAGAUUUGUAUGUAUGACGUGUAUGUUUACUGUAUGACUUUAUGAUAAUUUAGUGUCUACUUGUACACACCCAAAUUGGAGGGUAUAGAUUUUUGAUUUUGUGAAUACCAGCUAUUGUUUACUCACAAUAUUACUGGAACUAGAGAGAAAAUGUAAGAAAAGGAGAUUGCUAAGUAUUUUGAGAAAUUAUCUUGCUUACUUUAUUACACUACAGAAUGGUGGUGU